rnacentral:rRNA from 1 species
CCUACGGGUGGCAGCAGUAGGGAAUAUUGCUCAAUGGGGGAAACCCUGAAGCAGCAACGCCGCGUGGAGGAUGAAGGUUUUCGGAUUGUAAACUCCUUUUGUUAGAGAAGAUAAUGACGGUAUCUCACGAAUAAGCACCGGCUAACACCGUGCCAGCAGCCGCGGUAAUACGGAGGGUGCAAGCGUUACUCGGAAUUACUGGGCGUAAAGAGCGCGUAGGCGGGUUAGCAAGUCAGAUGUGAAAUCCUAUGGCUUAACCAUAGAACUGCAUUUGAAACUGUUAUUCUGGAGUAUAGGAGAGGUAGGUGGAAUUCUUGGUGUAGCGGUAAAAUGCGUAGAGAUCAAGAGGAAUACCCAUUGCGAAGGCGACCUGCUAGAACAUAACUGACGCUGAUGCGCGAAAGCGUGGGGAGCAAACAGGAUUAGAUACCCCAGUAGUC